GACGAACGCUGGCGGCGUGCUUAACACAUGCAAGUCGAACGGAAAGGCCCUGCUUUUGUGGGGUGCUCGAGUGGCGAACGGGUGAGUAACACGUGAGUAACCUGCCCUUGACUUUGGGAUAACUUCAGGAAACUGGGGCUAAUACCGGAUAUGAGCUCCUGCUGCAUUGUGUGGGUUGGAAAGUUUCGGCGGUUGGGGAUGGACUCGCGGCUUAUCAGCUUGUUGGUGGGGUAGUGGCUUACCAAGGCUUUGACGGGUAGCCGGCCUGAGAGGGUGACCGGCAACAUUGGGACUGAGAGACGGCCCAGACUACUACGGGAGGCAGCAGUGGGGAAUAUUGCACAAUGGGCGGAAGCCUGAUGCAGCAACGCCGCGUGCGGGAUGACGGCCUUCGGGUUGUAAACCGCUUUCGCCUGUGACGAAGCGUGAGUGACGGUAAUGGGUAAAGAAGCACCGGCUAACUACGUG
rnacentral:rRNA from 1 species